rnacentral:rRNA from 1 species
AACGAACGCUGGCGGCAUGCCUAACACAUGCAAGUCGAACGAGAGCUUCGGCUCUAGUGGCGCACGGGUGCGUAACGCGUGGGAAUCCGCCCUUGGGUUCGGAAUAACAGUUGGAAACGACUGAUAAUACCGGAUGAUGACGUAAGUCCAAAGAUUUAUCGCCCUGGGAUGAGCCCGCGUCGGAUUAGCUAGUUGGUGGGGUAAAGGCCUACCAAGGCGACGAUCCGUAGCUGGUCUGAGAGGAUGAUCAGCCACACUGGGACUGAGACACGGCCCAGACUCCUACGGGAGGCAGCAGUGGGGAAUAUUGGACAAUGGGCGCAAGCCUGAUCCAGCAAUGCCGCGUGAGUGAUGAAGGCCUUAGGGUUGUAAAGCUCUUUUACCUGGGAAGAUAAUGACUGUACCGGGAGAAUAAGCCCCGGCUAACUCCGUGCCAGCAGCCGCAGUAA